rnacentral:rRNA from 1 species
CGUGUAGGCUGCUCGGAAAGUCGGAUGUGAAAGCCCUGGGCUCAACCCAGGAAGUGCACUCGAAACUCCCGAGCUGGAGUCCUGGAGAGGAAGGCGGAAUUCUCGGUGUAGAGGUGAAAUUCGUAGAUAUCGAGAGGAACAUCGGUGGCGAAGGCGGCCUUCUGGACAGUGACUGACGCUGAGACGCGAAAGCGUGGGGAGCAAACAG